rnacentral:rRNA from 1 species
GACGAACGCUGGCGGCGUGCUUAACACAUGCAAGUCGAACGGAAAGGCCCUGCUUUUGGGGGGUGCUCGAGUGGCGAACGGGUGAGUAACACGUGAGUAACCUGCCCUUGACUUUGGGAUAACUUCAGGAAACUGGGGCUAAUAACGGAUAGGAGCUCCUGCUGCAUGGUGGGGGGUGGAAAGUUUCGGCGGUUGGGGAUGGACUCGCGGCUUAUCAGCUUGUUGGUGGGGUAGUGGCUUACCAAGGCUUUGACGGGUAGCCGGCCUGAGAGGGUGACCGGCCACAUUGGGACUGAGAUACGGCCCAGACUCCUACGGGAGGCAGCAGUGGGGAAUAUUGCACAAUGGGCGGAAGCCUGAUGCAGCAACGCCGCGUGCGCGAUGACGGCCUUCGGGUUGUAAACCGCUUUCGCCUGUGACGAAGCGUGAGUGACGGUAAUGGGUAAAGAAGCACCGGCUAACUACGUG